UUGGAUUGCGACUCCAUACUGAAUGUAAGGAAGAGAGUAUCUGGCAUGCAGGAGAUCUCUUAGGGUGUCUCUUAGUAUUACCGUGUCCUAUGAUUGAGGUAAAUGGAAAUCUACAACCCAAUCCAGGCUGGACUAUUAAUGGCACAGAUUCUUCAGGAAUGAAGGUUUGGGUCACUCCAUCAGGACCCCUAACUCCGUGGAUCCAGCUUUAGGAGCAGGAGCACGGAGGAGUGGUGGCUUGGGUCUCUCAUGCUCUCUCUUGGCAUUGGGAAGGACUGCCCCUCUACAUGCAUCAGUUUGGAAAGCAUGGUCUCAAAAGAGAUGGCGUGAUCAUCUGGAGAGAGAAGAGAUAGGCUGUUUCAUAUUGCAGAUUGGUGAAGAAGUCCUCUAGGAGGAUGUAAUGAGAAGAUGACCGACUAACUGUAAACCAAGUAGAGGAUUCUCGUCAGAGUCCAACCAUGACUUUGGACUUCCCAGACUCCAGAACGGCUUAUCGAUCCGACCUGAAUCAGCGGUCGUUUUUAAAUAAUCGGUGCGUGACCAACAGCUAAACUACGGAAGCGGCCGAGGCGUCCAUCGGUAGAUGAAUGGAUAAAGAUGUGGGGCACAGACAUUAUAUAUACAAUGGAAUAUUCUCCAGCCAUAAAAAAAAAAAAAAAAAAAAAGAAUGAAAUCUUGCCAUUUGCAGCUACACAGAUGACUCACCCACGAACCUGCAGAAUUCACAUGAUGCUGUCCUGACCUAACCCGAUGCCUCCCUGUGUGUCCCCGGGCAGCCCGGGUGCCCUUUCCUCUUGGGAACUGUGACAAAGGAUCUUUUCCAAUGGCAUUUGUCCCCGAUCUGUUGGCCCACCAUCUCUCAGUUUUAAAAAACCUCCAUCUUUAAAACAAAUGUCACAACGAUUCCAGGGACCAGAAGCCCAUUUCUUUGCAAGGCGGCGACUUCAGUGGUGACCUGAUAGGACAGCUCCCGCCCAGCUGGAACUGCAGCCGGCUUCCCGAACCUUCCAAACACUUCUGCCUCCAGGGCAACAGAGAAUAAUCUACUCCCCUUUUUAUUUUUCAAGUGAAUGAUCGAGGAUCUGAAACACACCUAUGACUGCCUUCCUGAAAUACAUUUGUGAGAAUCACACACAUGAAUCUACAGAAUUUUUUGGCUUUAUUUCUAGUCUCCCUUAAAAAAAAAAAAAAAAGAUUUUAUCCAUUCAUUUGAGAGAGAGAGCACACGCAUGUGAGCAGGGGAAGGGGCAGAGGGAGCCCGACUCGGGGCUUGAUCCCAGGAUCCGGAGAUGGUGACCUGCGCCGAAGGCAGAUGUUUAACCACUUAACCAACCGAGCCGCCCUCUAGUUUCCUUCUUACAAUGAUCAGCAUUUCACUAGUCACUGUGGUUUCAACAGCCCAGUGAAUUAUUUUCUAACAUUCCCAUCGUCAUUCACUCAUCCGUGGGGUCAGCGGACCCUUGGCAGCCUGGUAGCCCCCACUGGUUUGUCGCUGUCCUUUAAAAACAUGCAGCGUUUGCCAGAACUGGUCUAUCCACAUGUGGCUUCACGGGCACUAUUACUUUCCUGGGUCCGGGGGUCAGGGUUACGCUGGCGCCUGGCACGACAUCAACUAGUAAUUUACCAGGUAACUUUAUUAAUAAAAGACAUAAUGCCCAGUAAUCUUAUUUCCAGGAUAUUAUAUAUAGGUAUAUAUACACACAUAUAUAUGUAUGUAUAUAUAUUACUUUUUCCUAGACUCUAGCAUUUAAUGGUUCAUAUUAAACACAGAAAUGUUUAAUAACGUUUUUUUUUUUUUGUACCAUUCAUCAAUCUAUCUUGGGUAUUCUAGAGCCAUACUUAUUAACUGCGAUUAGCAGAGCUCCUUGAGGGCAGAGACUUAAGUAUUUAUGAAACACAGCACAUGGAUGAUAGUUGUUGGAUGACUACAUUGUAAUGGUUCCUAUGUGACUACGUAUUACACAAUUUAGCCAAUACUGGGAGAGUUUCCUCUUUAAGUUUCUAUAGAACUCUUGGAUGGUACGUGGUUUCAUUUAUGUUAGCUCAUCAUAUUUAACAUUAUCCUCUUUGUACCCACUGUUUGAAUAAUUUCGUCCCAGUUACUUUAAAAGAGCAAGUUGAAAGGGAAUCUCCUAUCUUAUUCAGUACAUGCAAGAACAAUAGUUAAUUGAUUCUAUUAUGUUUCCACUCAUUCCCACAAACGGCCCAAUUAGCUCCCAACAGUAUCUGCCUGCCAGGUUGCACAAUUAAUGCAAAUUAAUAUAAGUGGUAGUUGAUUAUAUUCCAUUUCUGAGCACUAUGUUUGGUUUUAUCUGUGUACAGGGAAAUUAUCUAGAGUUUUGAUGACAGAUUUCUUCUCAGUCAUAUCUAGAUCUUUUGCAUUAUCUAGAAGUCAUUGAUUUAAGGUAUUUUAUCAAGACUUGUCCAAGAUCUCACUUGCAUUUCUAGCUAACACUUUUGCUGUCCAUAACUAGACUUAUAUUAGAAAAUAAACAUACAAUUAAAGAUCUGAGCAACAAUGUUAUGCAUGUCUGUUUUUGUUAAUGAUUUAGAAAAGCCCUAGGUCAAAUUAUGUUUUAUAUCAUUCCAAAGUUAAUGUAUAAUAGUCCGUAAUCCAAGUUGAAAAUAUGUUCAAAUUAGCUUAAUGAGGGACCCCUGAGUGGCUCAGCAGUUUCGCACUGCCUUUGGCUCAGGGCAUGACCCUGGGGUCUCGGGAUUGAGUCCCGCAUCGGGCUCCUGGCAUGGAGCCUGCUUCUCCCUCUGCCUGUGUCUCUGCCUCUCUCUCUCUCAUGAAUAAAUAAAUAAAAUCUUUAAAAAAAAAAAAUUAUCUUAACGAAUGAGCCUAAGGCAACUAAAAGCCAAAUCUACUUUUUCUGGCUUUUAAUAUGUAAAAGAUUCUCAUUGUUUCACAUAUCUAACAUUAUAAAUCAUUUGUGAUAUUUAAAUCAUUGAUAUGAGUAAUAAUUUUCAGUGUAACUAUGAUAAAUUGCACUAGUAUGAACAUAUUUUUACAAUAUACAGAAUCAAGACAUUGGACAUUGUCUCUUCAGCCAGGAACAAAUGCUGUGUUUUAUGUCCCAUCUAGGCCUGUAUUUGGCUAUCAUUAAAUAUUUAAGCUAUGGGUUUAUACUAAUGUUCUUCAUGAUGGCUUCAUGAAAGGCUUUAUUUUUAAAUUUCUCCUAGCUCAAUGUAAUUUCUUUUAUUUAAUCUCUACACCCAACGUGGGGCUCAAACUCCAGACCCUCAGAUCAAGAUCGCAUACUCUUCUGACCAGCCAGGUGCCCCAUCAGUGUAAUUUUUUA